rnacentral:rRNA from 1 species
GCGGCCUAUCAGCUUGUUGGUGGGGUGAUGGCCUACCAAGGCGACGACGGGUAGCCGGCCUGAGAGGGUGACCGGCCACACUGGGACUGAGACACGGCCCAGACUCCUACGGGAGGCAGCAGUGGGGAAUAUUGCACAAUGGGCGAAAGCCUGAUGCAGCGACGCCGCGUGAGGGAUGACGGCCUUCGGGUUGUAAACCUCUUUCAGUAGGGAAGAAGCCUUCGGGUGACGGUACCUGCAGAAGAAGCGCCGGCUAACUACGUGCCAGCAGCCGCGGUAAUACGUAGGGCGCAAGCGUUGUCCGGAAUUAUUGGGCGUAAAGAGCUCGUAGGCGGUUUGUCGCGUCUGCUGUGAAAACGCAAGGCUUAACCUUGCGCCUGCAGUGGGUACGGGCAGACUAGAGUGCGGUAGGGGAGACUGGAAUUCCUGGUGUAGCGGUGGAAUGCGCAGAUAUCAGGAGGAACACCGAUGGCGAAGGCAGGUCUCUGGGCCGUUACUGACGCUGAGGAGCGAAAGCAUGGGGAGCGAACAGGAUUAGAUACCCUGGUAGUCCAUGCCGUAAACGUUGGGCACUAGGCGUGGGGUCCAUUCCACGGAUUCCGCGCCGCAGCUAACGCAUUAAGUGCCCCGCCUGGGGAGUACGG